GGACGAUUGUACUGAUCAAAGGAUGAGGAUGGUAAGAGGAAACGAAGAGGGGCCCGAUGGUGCUCACGGGAUGAGUACGACUAGAGAAAAAGCCGAAUGUGCUUGCUAUUGCAGUGACAAAGGACGACAAGGAAGAGGAGAGGAAGGUCUGGUGAUUGGUGGGUUGGCGUGAAUAAAAUGAUUUGCUGGGUAAUUUCUUACAAUAGUAUUAUUAGUCAUUCGAAAUCGAAGAAAAUGAUUCUAAGAAGUCAAAAAGUAUCCAGAGAGGGGAGAGAGAAGGAGAAUUGUUCCCCGCUCGCCAUCUUCGACUGAUCCAGUCUGUCAGCCAGUCAGUAGUAGUCAUAAAGGUCGCUGCUGCUGCCGCCGCCGGUGGUGGUGGUUGGAAGGGCGAAAACAUUGGCCGAAACCAUCCGGCGGGACAGGAGGAGGCGGCGGCGUUUUGGAUAUUGGAUUACAAGUUAAGAGGCUCUGAACAACGGCGGCUUCCAAGAGCACCCAAGGGCAAGACAUAAUCUCUCUCUCUCUCUCUCUUCUUCUGUUAUUAUGUCUAGAUGGAAAUACGACGUCUUCUUGAGCUUCAGAGGCGAAGACGCGCGCAGCGGCAUCUUCGACCAUCUGUAUGCGGCUCUGCAUCAGAAGGGCAUUGUCACCUUCAAGGAUGAUCUGAAUCUAAAGAGAGGAGAACCAAUUUCUCCAGCGCUCCUGAAGGCCAUCGAAGACUCCAGGUCUGCGAUCAUCAUUUUCUCCAAAGGCUAUGCUUCUUCCACCUGGUGCUUGGAGGAACUCGUUAAGAUCCUCGAAUGUAAGGAAACAAGGGGGCUCACCGUUUUGCCACUGUUCUAUAAAGUAGAUCCCUCGGACGUACGGAAACAAAGAGGGACUGUUGCCGAAGCAUUCGCUGAACACGAGCAAGUUUUCAGGGAAAAGAAGGAGAAGUUGCAGAGCUGGAGGAAUGCUCUAACAGAAGCAUCCAACAUUUCUGGGUGGGAUUCACUGAAACAUGGGCCUGAAGCAAAGCUUGUUCAAGACAUUGUAAAUAAUAUUCAAUGUGGACUGGGAGAUGAUGAUUCAAGCAUUCUUGAAGAUUUUGUUGGAUUGGGUCCUCGUGUGGCAGAAGUGAAAUCGCUGUUGGGAAUCGGAUUGGAUGAUCCACGUAUAAUAGGGAUAUGUGGAAUGGGUGGCAUAGGAAAGACUACUAUUGCCAAGGCUGUCUAUGACCAAAUUCAUUCUCAGUUUGAUGCUAGCAGCUACCUUGCAAAUGUCAGAGAAUAUUCUAAGAAAGAUGGACUGGAGUCAUUGCAACAAUUGCUUCUUUCUGAUAUCCUCUUAGAUAGUGCUACUAAAAUAAGAAACCUUUAUCAUGGGAUAAGUAUGAUAAAGAACAAGGUACAACAUAAGAGUGUUCUUUUAGUCCUCGAUGAUGUGGACCGUUCAAAUCAACUGGAAGCACUUGUUGGAAAGCUGGAUUGGUAUGGUUCAGGAAGUAGAAUUAUAAUAACAACCAGAAACUCUCAUUUACUUACCAUAUAUCAAGCAAGUCAUGUUUAUAACGUCAAGGCACUAGAUUACAGGGAGGCUUUUGAGCUAUUUUGUUGUAAAGCAUUCAAGAAAAGACAACCAACACCGGGUUUUGAGCAUCUCAUAGCGAGUGUACUUGAUUAUGCUAAUGGAGUUCCAUUAGCUCUUGGUGUUUUGGGUUCUUUUCUCAUUGGCAGAAAGGCAAAUGAAUGGCAGAGCACAGUCGAUAGAUUAAGACAACAGCCUAAUGCAGAAAUUCAGGAAGUGCUCAAAUUAAGCUAUGAUGGACUGGGAAAUACAGAGAAGGAAAUUUUUCUUGACAUUGCAUGCUUCUUUAAAGGGGAGAGUGAAGACUACAUAGUUGAUAUAUUGGAUGCUUGUGGUUUCUGCCCUCACAUUGGAAUAAGCAUUCUUGUUGAGAAGUCACUUAUGACUAGAAGGGGCGAUACGAUAGAUAUGCAUGAUCUAAUACAAGACAUGGGGUGCCAUAUUGUUGAUGAAGAAUCCCCAAAAGAGCCAGGUAGAAGAAGUAGGCUGUGCCGCAAUAAAGAAAUCUACCGUACACUCGCAAAUAAAACAGGGACAGAAGCAGUGGAGGCCAUUAUUUUGGAUUCUCGUGGAACUAAAGAGAUAUAUUUGAGUCCUGAUACAUUUUCAAAGAUGAGCAAAUUGCGACUACUCAGGCUUAGGAAUGUUCAACUUCCUAAUGGUCUCAACUACCUCUCCAAUGAGUUAAGCCUUCUUGAUUGGCAUGGAUACCCUUCAAAAUGCAUGCCAUCAAAUUUUCAACCAAACAAGCUUAUCCAACUAAAAAUGUCCUAUAGCCGCCUCCGGCAACCUUGGAAGGGAACAAUGUGCCUAGACAAGUUGAAAUACAUUGACCUUAGUUAUUCGCUAAGCAUAACCAAGAUCUCAGAUUUCACUCAGGUAGCAAAUCUUAAGGAACUGAUUCUUAGAGGUUGUAUGAACUUGUUUGAGAUCGACCCAUCCAUUGGAGUCCUCAAAAGGCUUACUUUCUUAGAUUUGAAGGACUGCAAGUAUCUUAAGGUUCUUCCUACGGGCACCUGGAUUGAAUCCCUUGAAAGCCUUGUUCUUUCUGGUUGUUCAAAACUCAAAAAUAUUUCUGAAGUCCUAGUGUGUGCAAAAUGCUUAAUUAAUCUAAAGUUGGAUGGGACUUGUGUAAAGGAUCUGCCAGUUGAACAUCUCAGCAAUCUUGAAAUGAUUAGUCUGCGGGAUUGUACAAAACUUACAAGUCUUCCAAGUGGCAUUUGUGAGUUGAAAUGUCUCACAAGGUUGAUACUUUCUGGCUGCUCAAACCUUAACAAGUUGCCUGAGAACCUGGGAAAAUUGGAAAGCUUGGAGGAGCUUCUUGUUGAUAAAACUGCUAUUAAAGAACCACCAUUAUCGAUUAUACACUUGAAGAACCUUGAACUUUUGUCAUUUAGUGGAUGCAAGGGAGGAGUAACGUCUACACUAAGGAAUUCACUGUUUUCAUCAUUUCUUAUUCGAAAAGAAUGUCAAGGUUCCAUAUGUUUGCUGCUACCUCCUCUAUCAGGUUUAUGCUCAUUAACAGAACUAGAUCUAAAUGAGUGCAACCUUUCAGAAGCAUUUCUCCCAAACGACCUAGGCUCCUUAUCCUCAUUGGAAUUUUUAUGCCUUAAUGGUAACAAUUUUACUAGUUUGCCAGCUAGCAUCGGUGGUCUUCUCAGACUUUUCUCCCUUGAAUUGAAGGAUUGCAAGAAUCUUAAGACAUUGCCUGACCUCCCAUCAAGUAUCAGGUUGAUUAAUGCAAGUGGAUGCAUAUCAUUAGAAAGAUUUCAAAAUCCGACUAGUAUGCCUGAAAAUCUUGUGGAGUUCAAUUUAAGUAAUUGCCUUACACUAGCAAAGAAUCAGCCCAGCCUUCCCCUUGAACUUCUUCGAAAUCAACUCAAGGUCUCUCUCUCUCUCUCUCUCUCUCUCUCAUGUCCUUUUGGGUGGUGCAGGGUUCUGCUACUUCAAGUAAGGAAGACAUCUACUUCAGUGUUGUUGUUCCUGGAAGAAAGCUUCCAAAGUGGGUCAACCAUCAAAAUACAAAGGCUCCAAAUUAUGCCAGUUGCUUUCUGGAAUGUUAUGGGAUGUCCAGUGAUGAUGCAGUCUAUGGCACAUGCAGGCGCAUUAACGUCUUUCAGGGGCAAAUAUGCUUCAAUUCAGAUCACUUGUUUUUGCAAUACAUACCACUAUCAUUUGUUUCUCGAGAACAAUGAAGUGGUGACUCAGUUGAAAACUUGGACUCAUUUCAUUGUUUAUUUUACGAGUAGUAAGCCUGAGAUGUUUGCACCAGUAAAAUGUGAUGCUUAUCUAUUAUAUGAGAAUGGCACAGAAUGGAUGGAUAAAAGAAGUAUCCUACAAACUGACCGUGAGCUAUAUGAUGUCUCAACUGAAGUGAUACGAGAUUCAUUUAAGUUGCUCUCUCAAGUAGUUGAAGAUCCUGAUUGUUACAUGGUGUGUGUGGGAAAAAAGACUAGGACAAGUGAGACAAAGAUGGAACAAUAAUCCAAUAAGGGAGGUGAACUAAGUUGUAUAAAAUUUAUGGUUUUUGAAUAGUUUUGAAACCUUCUUUUUGGUUUUAAAACAGCUUGCUAAAAAGAUUUGGACUAAAAGCAACUCCGUCAGUCUGCAAAGCUCAGAUUGGAAUUGAGUGAGAUCCACUUGUGAAGGAGAUUGAAGGGUUCUGGACAGAACAUAUCAGUAUGCAGAAGAAUCUGAAAGGAAUUCUCAAAAUAUUAGGCAGAUUUGCGAGGUGCCAAGGGUGAUCCAAUUUUCACUUUACUUGACUUCAUGUUCCUCAAUUAUGCAUGUCAGAUGCAUGGUUCAAUUUCCGAAAAACAUAGGUGAUGCCCUUACUUACAAUUUUUCUGUUACGAAUUCCAAGAAAUACUAAUUAAAAUCUCAAGUUCCUAAUUAUCAGGUUAGAUUUUCUAGUUCUGGGUCCAAUUCAUCUGAGUUGUACUUAAAUACAAUUCAUUUCGGCCUCUAAACCAGAGAUUAAGCUUUUGUAAGCAUUUGGUGGGCCUACUGACUUGUCUCUUCUGGAAUACCAGGAUGUUACAUAGCACGAUCUUGAUGCUGCAAAUGCACAGCCUCAAGGUGGACAGGAUAUCUACUGUCCUUAAUGAAUCAGAUGACGAAACACAGAAAAAUAGAAAUUACUGACAAAUUACAACAGGAGAUAAACAAAGUACCUUUUAUUUUUUUUUAUAUUCCUUGAAUUUCUCCUCGUAUCCUGCAAUAAGCGAUGAAUCUAAAAUUUAUGCCUACAGGAUAAUGUAUACCUGAAUGUCUUUUUUUCUUGUUUCCUUUCGUUCUCUUUUUUGAAAUAGAACCUGAAAGUUUUGUUGAUUACAGGUUGUUAAUGGUUGUUACGUUGAGGAGGGCCUCGACCUGAAUAAUUUCAGCUGGAAUGAAAGCUUCUGUCCUUAUAAUUACCAGUCGAUCUAACAAGUAGACAGAAACUUAUGGUCCAGCUGAAAUGAUUCAGGUUGAGGCCUGUUUUGAUAUAAAUUAUGUUUUAUUGUAUCCACAACCUAUUUUGAUACACAAGAAUUAUCCAAGGCCUUCCCUCUUGAUUGUUUUGCAGCCAUGAUGCUUGCCAGAUUUUAGCAAUUUGUGGAUGAAGAAAGUCUGGUUUUACCUUGGAGAGAGUGGAAAGCAAGCAUCUUUAAGGCAUGCUUUAUUAUGUUUUGAGGUUUUUGUGGUUGGUCUUGUUCUCUACAUUCAAGGACUCAGAUUUUACCUAACCGUACUGUUGUCUCAGGCAUGCAGUUCAGCUUUUAUCACCUGCAAGUGGUGUGGCUAAAACGAAUGGUAGAGAGAAUGAAUAAUAUUUGCAAUGUGUUUAUUAUCUACACUUGUAGGUGGUUAUGAUGAAUAAUACAUAGGGAACUAAGGGAAGCAUCUCCUUGAGUCUUUCUUUGAUUUCUACAUCUUUCAGGCAGAGAGAUCUUCAGGAAGUGAAUGCUCGUCAUCUGGUUCCAAAGUCUCGGCAAGACUUACUCCAAGAGCAGCAGGACAGAUACAUAUCGUGAUUCCUCCUGUCUAAAACUCUUAUCUGCAUGCUUGAUUUCAAACAGUAAUCGCUUAUCCGAUGAGAAUGUCACUAAAACGGGGAUUGGCCUUUGAUUCAAUUUGGAGCUUCCGAUUAGGUAUGUUCACAAAGGAGAAUUAGGUCUGAGCACAGGCAUGCUUUCCUGGUACUUUCCCAUGACCUUUGCUAAGCGAGGAUCCUGGUGUAUCAGGGACUGUCUGUCUUGUUUUUCUGGGCAUCAACAGACACGGUGGAGUUUUGAUUGUCCACGAAGGAUAAUUAGGUGAUCCCAGUUUGGCUUUUCAAGUUUAUCCUGGAAUUAUUUCUCCCCAAGUUACGUUUACUAUUCAGAAGCUUUCUUGGGCGUGGUAAUUUGGAGAAUCAAAUGUAACAUUUGUCAGCUCGAAUGUGGUAGCCAUCUCGUAAAUUGUGCGUUGUUGUCUGCAACUUCUCCAGUUCUGGAUUAAUUUAUCCCAUUCUUUCUGCUACCUUUAGAAGUUUUGCUUGUUCAUUAUAGUUGUUGGGACAUGGGCUUGUUUUGUUAUCUUUCUCACAAUUCCAAGGGCAUCCGGUACUGGUACCGGCAGGCAUAUUCGUAGGGAUCAAUU